GACAGAGGGGGCAAGCGUUGCUCGGAAUCACUGGGCGUAAAGGGCGCGUAGGCGGGAUGGCAAGUCGGUCGUGAAAUCCCUGGGCUCAACUCAGGGGGGUCGGCCGAUACUGCCAUUCUUGAGGGAUGCAGAGGAGACUGGAAUUCCCGGUGUAGCAGUGAAAUGCGUAGAGAUCGUAAGGAAGACCAGUGGCGAAGGCGGGUCUCUGGGCAGUUACUGACACUGAGGCACGAAGGCCAGGGGAGCAAACGGG
rnacentral:rRNA from 1 species